GCACAAGCGGUGGAGUAUGUGGUUUAAUUCGAUGCAACGCGAAGAACCUUACCUGGUCUUGACAUCCCGGAGACCCUUAGGAAACUAGGGGGUGCUUCCAGUCUGGAAGAAUCUGGAGACAGGUGCUGCAUGGCUGUCGUCAGCUCGUGUCGUGAGAUGUUGGGUUAAGUCCCGCAACGAGCGCAACCCUUGCCUUUAGUUGCCAGCAGUUCGGCUGGGCACUCUAAAGGGGCUGCCGGUGUUAAACCAGAGGAAGGUGGGGAUGACGUCAAGUCCUCAUGGCCUUUAUGACCAGGGCUACACACGUACUACAAUGGCCGAUACAAAGGGCAGCGACACUGCGAGGUGAAGCCAAUCCCGUAAAAUCGGUCUCAGUCCGGAUUGGAGUCUGCAACUCGACUCCAUGAAGUUGGAAUCGCUAGUAAUCGUGGAUCAGCAUGCCACGGUGAAUACGUUCCCGGGCCUU
rnacentral:rRNA from 1 species